rnacentral:misc_RNA from 1 species
AUGUGACCUAGGCAUAAGCAAACUGUGCAAUAGGCCUUUUGAUUCCAUUAUGUAAUUCGUUGAAGACGAUUUUUGAGCUUGGUUAGUAUCGGGGCAGGAGUGUAGGAGCUUCAAUAAAGUGAAAAACCUCUUCUAAGUUUUGAAAGCAGUCCGUCACAGAAGUCGUCUGCAACAGGUACCCAUCUCCGCGAAGCAUCCCACAAGAUGAAGCUGUUCGUUGUAACUUUGGCUGCUAUGCUAGCAGUAAUAUCUGCCUCUCCUAGGACUGGCCCAUUUAAAGUUUCAGUUGAAAAAAUUGAAACCAACCUCAGUCCAAGAGUAAGAAGAGCGGCAUUGAGCCUUGAUGAAUACCGUCAGGAGCAACUUGUAGACCACAACAAUUACCGCGAUGUCCACGAUGCAUCCCCUCUAUCCCUCGAUGCUAAUCUUAACGCCGAGGCGCAAGCGUACGCCGAGCACCUCGCACAACUGGGUUCCAUGACACAUUGUACCAGAGCUAAGCGAGAGCUGAACCAAGCCGGGAUAGGUUGUGAUGAAGGAAUCCAUGGCAACGGGGAAAACCUCGCCUGGAGCAGCUCUCAAACCACAGACCUCAAUACUGCAACCAAGAUGUGGUACGACGAGGUGUGCCUCUAUGACUUCGGUAAUCACGGAUUCAGUAUGGAGACUGGACAUUUCACACAGGUUGUGUGGAGGCCAGCUACUUUGCUAGGAAUUGGACGAGCUUCUGGUAGCAGUGGGACCUUUGUGGUUGCUCGUUACAACGUUCAACAGGGAAUGUCAUUCGCCACAAACGUUGGCGACAAACCUGCCAGUUUGGAUGACGACUGUGGCACAGCUGGAACUGAUGAACCCGAAGAACCUGUUGCACCUGUGGAAGUGUCUGCCCUAGCUGAUGCCCGAAAGGACGUAUGCACAAACUUGGGAUACCCCUACCCCGACCACACUCCAUACCCCGACCAAUUUGGCUACAACUCCUGUUGGUUGGUCUGCGGAAACCCUGCCAGUCAAUACUCUUUCUACAUCUUCCCUACCUAUUUCUUCUCUGAUGUUAUCGACUGCAAAAAAUCCGAUGGCAGUUUCGGUGUAUGCAGUGGCGAAGUCUGCAACUAAAAGAUAUCAGUAUUGACCCGGUGAAACCAUCGAAUACGCGUGAUCACAAAACACGAUGGACGAUACCGAUGAUGACGUCAUAGUUCUGAAUUAGAUAUAUUUUUACAAACUUAUGUAGACCUUAUCAUACUGUGUAUCUCUGAAUAAGAUAUAUUUUUACAAACUUAUGUAGACCUUUUCGUACUGUGUAUAUCAAACAUUUUUCUUCCUUGGACCGGAAAGCAGAUACCAUAUUAAUGUUACUUAAUGCUAUCACGCUAUUACAUCUAGAGCUUUGUAGACUCAGUUGAAAAAUCAUAUUUGACAUUUUGAGUUGGAAUGAAAAAAGCCAUUUCUUUGUUAGCUACUUUGAAAUGUAAAACGUAUGACAGUGUUUCGACUCUCCUGAGUAUUUGCAGUAAACUAUUAUCCAUAAGAUUAUACUCUUUAAAUUGGCUUUUCUUCAAUAGAAAUACACGUACUGUAGCAUCUA